UACGAAGGCAGAGAGCGUUGUUCGGAAUUACUGGGCGUAAAGCGUGCGUAGGCGGUCGGCUAAGUUUGGUGUGAAAUCUCCCGGCUCAACCGGGAGGGUGCGCCGAAAACUGGCCGGCUAGAGUGCGGGAGAGGGAAGUGGAAUUCCUGGUGUAGCGGUGAAAUGCGUAGAUAUCAGGAGGAACACCGGUGGUGAAGGCGGCUUCCUGGACCGUGACUGACGCUGAGGCACGAAAGCGUGGGGAGCAAACAGG
rnacentral:rRNA from 1 species